rnacentral:rRNA from 1 species
CACGGGGGGAGCAAGCGUUGUUCGGAAUCACUGGGCGUAAAGGGUGUCUAGGCGGUCAGGUAAGUGAGAUGUGAAAUGCCCCGGCUUACCCGGGGACCUGCAUCUCAUACUGCCUGGCUUGAGUAUGGGAGAGGAUGAGGGAAUUCCUGGUGUAGCGGUGAAAUGCGUAGAUAUCAGGAGGAACACCGGUGGCGAAAGCGCUCAUCUGGCCCAAUACUGACGCUGAAGCACGAAAGCUAGGGGAGCAAACGGG